rnacentral:rRNA from 1 species
AUGAACGCUGGCGGCGUGCCUCAUACAUGCAAGUCGCGCGAACAGACGAGGAGCUUGCUCCUCUGACGUUAGCGGCGGACGGGUGAGUAACACGUGGAUAACCUACCUAUAAGACUGGGAUAACUUCGGGAAACCGGAGCUAAUACCGGAUAAUAUAUUGAACCGCAUGGUUCAAUAGUGAAAGACGGUUUUGCUGUCACUUAUAGAUGGAUCCGCGCCGCAUUAGCUAGUUGGUAAGGUAACGGCUUACCAAGGCGACGAUGCGUAGCCGACCUGAGAGGGUGAUCGGCCACACUGGAACUGAGACACGGUCCAGACUCCUACGGGAGGCAGCAGUAGGGAAUCUUCCGCAAUGGGCGAAAGCCUGACGGAGCAACGCCGCGUGAGUGAUGAAGGUCUUCGGAUCGUAAAACUCUGUUAUUAGGGAAGAACAAAUGUGUAAGUAACUAUGCACGUCUUGGCGGUACCUAAUCAGAAAGCCACGGCUAACUACGUG